rnacentral:antisense_RNA from 1 species
GCUUUCUCCCAGGUUUGGACUGGGGGUUAGCCGACGCCCUGUGAGUUACCGCUCACGGGGCGUUCAACAUUUUUCAGGU